rnacentral:rRNA from 2 species
UACCCGCUGAGUUUAAGCAUAUCAAUAAGCGGAGGAAAAG